UACAGAGGGUGCAAGCGUUGUUCGGAAUCAUUGGGCGUAAAGCGCACGUAGGCGGCCCGCUAAGUCGGAUGUGAAAGCCCAGGGCUCAACCCUGGAAGUGCAUUCGAAACUGGCGAGCUUGAAUGUCGGAGAGGGCAGUGGAAUUCCGAGUGUAGAGGUGAAAUUCGUAGAUAUUCGGAGGAACACCAGUGGCGAAGGCGACUGCCUGGACGAACAUUGACGCUGAGGUGCGAAAGCGUGGGGAGCAAACAGG
rnacentral:rRNA from 1 species